AUUGAACGCUGGCGGAAUGCUUUACACAUGCAAGUCGAACGGCAGCACGGGAGCUUGCUCCUGGUGGCGAGUGGCGAACGGGUGAGUAAUAUAUCGGAAUGUAUCCAAUAAUGGGGGAUAACUAGUCGAAAGAUUAGCUAAUACCGCAUACGCCCUGAGGUAGAAAGUGGGGGACCUUCGGGCCUCACGCUAUUCGAGCGGCCGACGUCUGAUUAGCUAGUAGGUGAGGUAAAGGCUCACCUAGGCGACGAUCAGUAGCGGGUCUGAGAGGAUGAUCCGCCACACUGGGACUGAGACACGGCCCAGACUCCUACGGGAGGCAGCAGUGGGGAAUUUUGGACAAUGGGCGAAAGCCUGAUCCAGCCAUGCCGCGUGUCUGAAGAAGGCCUUCGGGUUGUAAAGGACUUUUGUCAGGGAGGAAAUCCCUAGUGCUAAUAACACUGGGGGAUGACAGUACCUGAAGAAUAAGCACCGGCUAACUACGUGCCAGCCGCCGCAGUAACAC
rnacentral:rRNA from 1 species